rnacentral:rRNA from 1 species
AGGGUUUGAUUAUGGCUCAGAACGUACGCUGGCGGCACGCCUAACACAUGCAAGUCGAACGAAGUAGCAAUACUUAGUGGCAGACGGGUGAGUAACAUGUAGGUAUCUGCCCUUUGGCCUGGAAUAACACGAGGAAACUUGUGCUAAUACCGGAUAAGUCUUUACAGAGAAAGCUUUAUGCACCAUUGGAUGAGCCUGCACUUGAUUAGUUUGUUGGUGGGGUAAUGGCCUACCAAGACUGUGAUCAAUAGCUGAUUUGAGAGGAUGAUCAGCCACAUUGGGACUGAGACACGGCCCAAACUCCUACGGGAGGCAGCAGUGGGGAAUCUUGCACAAUGGAGGAAACUCUGAUGCAGCGAUGCCGCGUGAGUGAAGAAGGCCUUUGGGUUGUAAAGCUCUUUCGUCGGGGAAGAAAAUGACUGUACCCGAAUAAGAAGGUCCGGCUAACUUCGUGCCAGCAGCCGCGGUAAUACGAAGGGACCUAGCGUAGUUCGGAAUUACUGGGCUUAAAGAGUUCGUAGGUGGUUGAAAAAGUUGGUGGUGAAAUCCCAGAGCUUAACUCUGGAACUGCCAUCAAAACUUUUCAGCUAGAGUAUGAUAGAGGAAAGCAGAAUUUCUAGUGUAGAGGUGAAAUUCGUAGAUAUUAGAAAGAAUACCAAUUGCGAAGGCAGCUUUCUGGAUCAUUACUGACACUGAGGAACGAAAGCAUGGGUAGCGAAGAGGAUUAGAUACCCUCGUAGUCCAUGCCGUAAACGAUGUGUGUUAGACGUUGGAAAUUUAUUUUCAGUGUCGCAGCGAAAGCGAUAAACACACCGCCUGGGGAGUACGACCGCAAGGUUAAAACUCAAAUGAAUUGACGGGGACCCGCACAAGUAGUGGAGCAUGUGGUUUAAUUCGAAGAUACGCGCAGAACCUUACCAACACUUGACAUGUUCGUCGCGACUUUAAGAGAUUAGAGUUUUCGGUUCGGCCGGACGAAACACAGGUGCUGCAUGGCUGUCGUCAGCUCGUGUCGUGAGAUGUUGGGUUAAGUCCCGCAACGAGCGCAACCCUCACUUUUAGUUGCCAUCAUUAAGUUGGGCACUCUGAAAGAACUGCCAGUGAUAAGCUGGAGGAAGGUGGGGAUGACGUCAAGUCCUCAUGGCCCUUACGUGUUGGGCUACACACGUGCUACAAUGGUAUCUACAACAGGAAGCAAGACGGCGACGUUAAGCAAAUCCUUAAAAGAUACCUCAGUUCGGAUUGCACUCUGCAACUCGAGUGCAUGAAGCUGGAAUUACUAGUAAUCGUGGAUCAGCGUGCCACGGUGAAUGCGUUCCCGGGUCUUGUACACACCGCCCGUCACACCAUGGGAGUUGGUUCUACCUUAAGGCAAGGUUUCAAACCCUUGACCACGGUAUAGUCAGCGACUGGGGUGAAGUCGUAACAAGGUAACC